UAGUAAAGUGGACGGAGCGUGAUGAUAACUACGUGNUUACUGACCUUCGGCGGGGACAACGACGUCCGAAUAUGAUUGGUUACUACCAGCAAUACUUCGGCUAAGGUCUUCGGAGUCUUGCCGGGAAAGGCAUGGNCUUCGUUCAUGGAAAGCUAUCACCUGAAGGGAUGAGUCCGGCGUCCCAAUCANCUCAUUCCGGGGNUAAUGGCCCUANCAAGGACAAAAAAAGGUAGCUGGUUGAAAUGAUGAAUCGAGCCCACAACAUGCCAACAUGGAGACACGGUCCAAGAACUAAUACGGAAGGCAGGAGUGGGGACAUAUUGNGCAAUGGGCGCAAUGCCUGACCCAGGCAUGCCGGUGAGUGAUGAAUGGCCGUUCGGGUCGAAAAGCUCUGGGGNGAGGGCAGAAACCUGUNGUGGUUACUAUCCACGUACAAUUGNGGGGUAACUCUUGACCAAGCCCGGGUAAUCCUUGCCAGCAGACCGUGGAAAUACGGUAGGUGCGCGUAUCGGAAUCUGGGGGCGUAAAGGCGCACUGCUGGCGGCCUGUCCNNCUCGCUUGUGAAAUGCCCCUGGGGCUCAACCCUGGGGAAANUGGUUU
rnacentral:rRNA from 1 species